rfam:Rivularia sp. PCC 7116, complete genome.
GUUGAAAUCAACUUAAAUCCCUAUUAGGGAUUGAAAC